CCUACGGGUGGCAGCAGUGAGGAAUAUUGGUCAAUGGACGAGAGUCUGAACCAGCCAAGUAGCGUGAAGGAUGACUGCCCUAUGGGUUGUAAACUUCUUUUGUGCGGGAGCAAUAAUGGUCACGUGUGGCCAGACGAGAGUACCGUACGAAUAAGCAUUGGCUAACCCCGUGCCAGCAGCCGCGGUAAUACGGGGGAUGCAAGCGUUAUCCGGAUUUACUGGGUGUAAAGGGAGCGUAGACGGCAGGGCAAGUCUGGAGUGAAAGGCGGGGGCUCAACCCCCGGACUGCUCUGGAAACUGCCAGGCUGGAGUGCAGGAGAGGUAAGUGGAAUUCCUGGUGUAGCGGUGAAAUGCGUAGAUAUUAGGAGGAACACCAGUGGCGAAGGCGGCUUACUGGACUGUAACUGACGUUGAGGCUCGAAAGCGUGGGGAGCAAACAGGAUUAGAUACCCCAGUAGUC
rnacentral:rRNA from 1 species